rnacentral:rRNA from 1 species
GACGAACGCUGGCGGCGUGCUUAACACAUGCAAGUCGAGCGGAGCGGCGGACGGGUGAGUAACGCGUGAGUAACUGCCCCCCUCUCUGGGAUAACAGUUGGAAACGGCUGCUAAUACCGGAUAGUGGGGGAUGACUCGCGUCCUAUCGGCUUGUUGGUGGGGUAGUGGCCUACCAAGGCGACGAGGGGUAGCCGGCCUGAGAGGGCGACCGGCCACAUUGGGCUGAGAUACGGCCCAGACUCCUACGGGAGGCAGCAGUGGGGAAUAUUGCACAAUGGGGGAAACCCUGAUACAGCAACGCCGCGUGAGGGAUGACGGCCUUCGGGUUGUAAAGUACUUUCAGCGAGGAGGGUUAAUAACCGCAGCGAUUGACGUUACUCGCAGAAGAAGCAUCGGCUAACUCCGUGCCAGCAGCCGCGGUAAUUC